UACGAAGGGGACUAGCGUUGUUCGGAAUCACUGGGCGUAAAGCGCACGUAGGCGGAUUUGUAAGUCAGGGGUGAAAUCCCGGGGCUCAACCUCGGAACUGCCUUUGAUACUGCGAAUCUUGAGUCCGAUAGAGGUGGGUGGAAUUCCUAGUGUAGAGGUGAAAUUCGUAGAUAUUCGGAAGAACACCAGUGGCGAAGGCGACUUACUGGACACGUAUUGACGCUGAGGUGCGAAAGCGUGGGGAGCAAACAGG
rnacentral:rRNA from 1 species